rnacentral:rRNA from 1 species
CCGCGGUAAAACGUAGGACGCGAGCGUUAUCCGGAUUUACUGGGCGUAAAGCGCACGUAGGCGGAUUGUUAAGUGAGGGGUGAAAUCCCGGGGCUCAACCCCGGAACUGCCUUUCAUACUGGCAAUCUAGAGUCCGGAAGAGGUAAGUGGAACUCCUAGUGUAGAGGUGGAAUUCGUAGAUAUUAGGAAGAACACCAGUGGCGAAGGCGGCUUACUGGUCCGGAACUGACGCUGAGGUGCGAAAGCGUGGGGAGCAAACAGG